UACGUAGGGGGCAAGCGUUGUCCGGAAUCAUUGGGCGUAAAGCGCGUGUAGGCGGCUCGGUAAGUCCGCUCUGAAAGUCCAGGGCUCAACCCUGGGAUGCGGGUGGAUACUGCCGGGCUCGAGUCCGGAAGAGGCGAGUGGAAUUCCCGGUGUAGCGGUGAAAUGCGCAGAUAUCGGGAGGAACACCAAUGGCGAAGGCAGCUCGCUGGGACGUGACUGACGCUGAGACGCGAAAGCGUGGGGAGCGAACAGG
rnacentral:rRNA from 1 species